GCUGUGUGAUGAUAAGCAAAUACUGAGUAAACACAAAGGUCUUAACUAGCUCCAUCUGAUC
ensembl:snoRNA